CCUACGGGAGGCAGCAGUGGGGAAUAUUGGACAAUGGGGGCAACCCUGAUCCAGCCAUGCCGCGUGUGUGAAGAAGGCCCUCGGAUUGUAAAGCACUUUCAGUGAGGAAGAACGCCUGGUGGUUAAUACCCAUCAGGAAAGACAUCACUCACAGAAGAAGCACCGGCUAACUCCGUGCCAGCAGCCGCGGUAAUACGGAGGGUGCGAGCGUUAAUCGGAAUUACUGGGCGUAAAGCGCGCGUAGGUGGCUUGAUAAGCCGGUUGUGAAAGCCCCGGGCUCAACCUGGGAACGGCAUCCGGAAAUUGCAAGCUAAGGGGCAGGAGGGGGAGGUAGAAUUCCCGGUGUAGCGGUGAAAUGCGUAGAGAUCGGGAGGAAUACCAGUGGCGAAGGCGGCCUUCUGGACUGACACUGACACUGAGGUGCGAAAGCGUGGGUAGCAAACAGGAUUAGAUACCCGAGUAGUC
rnacentral:rRNA from 1 species